rnacentral:rRNA from 1 species
UACGUAGGGCGCAAGCGUUAUCCGGAAUUAUUGGGCGUAAAGAGCUCGUAGGCGGUCUGUCGCGUCGGCUGUGAAAACUCGGGGCUCAACCCCGAGCCUGCAGUCGAUACGGGCAGACUAGAGUGCUGUAGGGGAGACUGGAAUUCCUGGUGUAGCGGUGAAAUGCGCAGAUAUCAGGAGGAACACCGGUGGCGAAGGCGGGUCUCUGGGCAGUAACUGACGCUGAGACGCGAAAGCGUGGGGAGCAAACAGG